rnacentral:rRNA from 1 species
CGUCGCAUUAGUUAGUUGGCGGUGUAACGGACCACCAAGACGACGAUGCGUAGGGGUUCUGAGAGGAAGGUCCCCCACACUGGUACUGAGACACGGACCAGACUCCUACGGGAGGCAGCAG